GAUGAACGCUGGCGGUAUGCUUAACACAUGCAAGUCGAACGGACUCUUCGGAGUUAGUGGCGGACGGGUGAGUAACGCGUGAGAAUCUGGCUUUGGGUUCGGGACAACCACUGGAAACGGUGGCUAAUACCGGAUGUGCCGAGAGGUAAAAGAGAAAUUGCCUGAAGAUGAGCUCGCGUCUGAUUAGCUAGUUGGUGAGGUAAAGGCUCACCAAGGCAGCGAUCAGUAGCUGGUCUGAGAGGAUGACCAGCCACACUGGGACUGAGACACGGCACAGACUCCUACGGGAGGCAGCAGUGGGGAAUGUUCCGCAAUGGGCGAAAGCCUGACGGAGCAAUACCGCGUGAGGGAAGAAGGCUCUUGGGUUGUAAACCUCUUUUCUUAGGGAAGAACAAAAUGACGGUACCUAAGGAAUCAGCAUCGGCUAACUCCGUG
rnacentral:rRNA from 1 species